rnacentral:rRNA from 1 species
UACGGAGGGGGCAAGCGUUGUUCGGAAUUACUGGGCGUAAAGGGCGCGCAGGCGGCUGCUCAAGUCAGGCGUGAAAGGCCUGGGCUCAACCCGGGAAUUGCGCUUGAGACUGGGCUGGCUUGAGUGCGGGAGAGGAUGGUGGAAUUCCCAGUGUAGAGGUGAAAUUCGUAGAUAUUGGGAAGAACACCGGUGGCGAAGGCGGCUAUCUGGCCCGUAAUUGGCGCUGAGGCGCGAAAGCGUGGGGAGCAAACAGG